AGAGUUUGAUCCUGGCUCAGGAUGAACGCUGGCGGCGUGCUUAACACAUGCAAGUCGAACGAACCUUCGGGUUAGUGGCGGACGGGUGAGUAACGCGUGAGAAUCUGCCCUCAGGAGGGGGACAACAGCUGGAAACGGCUGCUAAUACCCCAUAUGCCGCGAGGUGAAAUGAAUUUCGCCUGAGGAUGAGCUCGCGUCUGAUUAGCUAGUUGGUGUAGGUAAUGGCUCACCAAGGCAUCGAUCAGUAGCUGGUCUGAGAGGAUGAUCAGCCACACUGGGACUGAGACACGUCCCAGACUCCUACGGGAGGCAGCAGUGGGGAAUUUUCCGCAAUGGGCGAAAGCCUGACGGAGCAACGCCGCGUGAGGGAUGAAGGCCUCUGGGCUGUAAACCUCUUUUAUCAAGGAAGAAGAUCUGACGGUACUUGAUGAAUAAGCCACGGCUAAUUCCGUGCCAGCAGCCGCGGUAAUACGGGAGUGGCAAGCGUUAUCCGGAAUUAUUGGGCGUAAAGCGUCCGCAGGCGGCUUUUCAAGUCUGCUGUUAAAGCGUGGAGCUUAACUCCAUCAUGGCAGUGGAAACUGAAAGGCUUGAGUAUGGUAGGGGCAGAGGGAAUUCCCGGUGUAGCGGUGAAAUGCGUAGAUAUCGGGAAGAACACCAGUGGCGAAGGCGCUCUGCUGGGCCAUUACUGACGCUCAUGGACGAAAGCCAGGGGAGCGAAAGGGAUUAGAUACCCCUGUAGUCCUGGCCGUAAACGAUGAACACUAGGUGUCGGGGGAAUCGACCCCUUCGGUGUCGUAGCUAACGCGUUAAGUGUUCCGCCUGGGGAGUACGCACGCAAGUGUGAAACUCAAAGGAAUUGACGGGGGCCCGCACAAGCGGUGGAGUAUGUGGUUUAAUUCGAUGCAACGCGAAGAACCUUACCAGGGUUUGACAUCCUGCGAAUCUCUUGGAAACAGGAGAGUGCCUUCGGGAACGCAGUGACAGGUGGUGCAUGGCUGUCGUCAGCUCGUGUCGUGAGAUGUUGGGUUAAGUCCCGCAACGAGCGCAACCCACGUCUUUAGUUGCCAGCAUUUAGUUGGGCACUCUAGAGAGACUGCCGGUGAUAAACCGGAGGAAGGUGUGGAUGACGUCAAGUCAUCAUGCCCCUUACAUCCUGGGCUACACACGUACUACAAUGCUACGGACAAAGGGCAGCAAGUUCGCGAGGACAAGCAAAUCCCAUAAACCGUGGCUCAGUUCAGAUCGUAGGCUGCAACUCGCCUACGUGAAGUAGGAAUCGCUAGUAAUCGCAGGUCAGCAUACUGCGGUGAAUACGUUCCCGGGCCUUGUACACACCGCCCGUCACACCAUGGAAGUUGGCCAUGCCCGAAGUCGUUACUCCAACCCUUGUGGAGGAGGACGUCGAAGGUGGGGCUGAUGACUGGGGUGAAGUCGUAACAAGGUAAC
rnacentral:rRNA from 1 species